rnacentral:rRNA from 1 species
AACGAACGCUGGCGGCAGGCCUAACACAUGCAAGUCGAACGGAUGUAGCAAUACAUUAGUGGCGCACGGGAGAGUAACGCGUGGGAACCUACCUUUUGGUUUGGGAUAACGUCGGGAAACUGACGCUAAUACCGGAUAAGCCCUUCGGGGGAAAGAUUUAUCGCCAAUAGAUGGGCCCGCGUUAGAUUAGCUAGUUGGUGAGGUAACGGCUCACCAAGGCGACGAUCUGUAGCUGGUCUGAGAGGAUGAC